GCCUGCCUGCCUGCCUGCCUGCGAGAGGUAAAUCUCGUGAAGGAAGGUCUUGCACGCUGAUCCUGUCACAGCUGCCUGACCGGAGAUCCAGGUGGUCCUGAGCAGGAGGGAAUGGUGGGAGAAGCAAACCAACAGCAGAAGCCAAGGGGCUGCUCAGGCCAGCCUCCUUCCCAAAAUGGGAAACAGUCUGUAGCUUCUGCAGUCUUACACGUACCGGUACCUUAAAUGAUGAACCUGAGACAGACCCCAUGACAUCACAAGCUAAUCUUGCUUUUGGAGAACUGCUGCAAAGAUCACAAAAAUACUAUCUUGCUGACUGCAGCGGGAAGCUUUGCUUGGUAUUCUGGUAGAGAACACAGAGACUGAAGAAGUGCCUUGUACUUCUCACCUCUAGUAAUAGAUUUCCCAAGUUAGUGUUAGAGCACUGUCACUGACUCCUGAGGUUUUCAUACUACGGAGAAACUGGAGUUACUGAGACAAUGGUUUCCCUAGUGCCUGUGUCAAGGAUCAAAGCCAUUAACUUUUUAAGAAAAGUUUCUAUUAUUGAAAGUAUUUAAUUACAAUAUUAAACAACCCUAUUUCUAAAUAUACUUGUGGCCCUAUUUCUCCAAAAGAUUCUGUUCAGAACAAUGUCAAAAAGCACGCAGUUAUUGUUUUCAUGCCAAGUUCACAAGAUUCGUAUCGAGAUCACUGAAACCCAAACUAUACACGUUUCUCUUACAGAAUAUAAUGACAUCUUUCAAAAGAGUUUCCAUUUUAUAAAUGGACUCUUUUUCUAAGAACUGUAACUUUAUUUUCACUUGCUUUUAGGAGUCUAAAGACUCAAACAGUGGUAACAGUUUAGAAAUCUACUGUUAUUUUCAACAAAACUAAAUUCUUGUAUUUUACAGUCUUAUUGGACAUCUCUCUUAACUGAUGUAUAUUUUAAGUGCUGUUGGUAGAAAUUUGUAUUCGGUUUAGUAGCAUAAAUUUUUUUAUUUUCUCCUUUAACUUUUCAGAUGCUGGUAAUCCUUUGUGUAAUAACAGGUUAAUGUUUGCCAGCUAUAUGUAUAUGGCAAGAUGCCCAGUAUCAGCUGAGCUGUGAAAAUGAAAGUAUCAAAAUAUCCCCACCUGUGAACUCUGCAAGAAACAAAUAUUACCCUCUGCUUAAAAAGAAAAAAA